rnacentral:lncRNA from 1 species
GGUGAGGAAGUAGGCAGCUUCGGAGGCGGUACUGCAGCGGCUGGAACCCGAGAGGCCUGGCGGCCCGGGUGAGGCUUGGGGCAGGUGGAAAGCCCCUUGCUCUUCUUUCCUGGGAUCGCGGCCAAGGCCGGAGCGGCUGCUUAGUCCACGGAUUCCUGUCAGGGGCGCGUCUUGGCUCGCUUCAUAGAGUGGACAGCCCUUGGCUAGUCCGCACCAAUGAGUGGGAGAUCGUCCUCUGGGCCAGUGCCCUCGAGGUGCCAGAAAGCCAACCUGCUUCACUAUCUUCAAGCUACAUGCCUGCGAAGAAGGUAUUAAGCUGAGAAGUCGCUUCAUAAGAGAAAUGGUAUUGAACGUCCAAGCAUUCUCCGGAGCCUGUAAGUGAUGCAGAAGAACAGCCCUGCCUGCUCUCCAGUGCAUCACACGUUCUGCAUCAGGCAGCUUGAAUCACCUGUCCCCAAACUUGCAGGUAAUAACCGCAUUCCCGGAAGUUCCCAUGUGGAACAGCGGGUUAAGGAUCUGGCGUUUCCACAGCUAUGGCGCAGGUCCUAACUGCUGCACAGGUUUGAUCCCUGGCCUGGGAACUUCUACAUGCCACGAGUGCGGCCAAAAACAAAACAAAACAAACAAAAACACCACAUUCCCUUCUAGUGAGAGAAUGCCCUAACCUCCCCUCCCCCUUCUGAAUCCUGUAUAAAUCAAUCCCUCUAAUUUAUAAUUCAUAGAUAUCAGCAAAUGUUUGGCCAUGACUAUGGCUUUAUUCUAAGUGGAUCUGAACAACUCUCUGGAUCUUGGUUUCUUCAUCUGUGAAAUGAAUGAGUGGGCUAGGUAAACUUCCAAAUCUAAAAUUUUAUACUACGCUGGCCCUGGAAAUAUGGAAAACUAUGGCCAAGCCCCUGUUCUCAACAGAUUUCAUUCUCAUUGGAAAGACAUUUUCAUGGAGAAAAGGAUAGAACGAAACAGAUGCUGAACGUCAGAUUACUGGUAUAUGCACUAAGUCCUGUAGGAGUUCAAAGAAGAGGGUUCACUGUAAACCAAAAACUAUCAGGAAAUGCUUUCCCUGGAGAAAUCACAUGAGCUUUGAAGGAAAGCCUGGCUUACAUAAGCCAGGAAAAUGGGAGUAGGACUGCAGACAAAGGAAGUGUUUCAAGCCAGAGUUGUGGCAGUUGGAAAGUGCUAAACAUUUCCUCUAGUUUAGAUGGUGGGUGAAGAAGCUGGAAAGGACUAAUUGUGGAGAGUUUGGAAUACCAGGUUGUGGUGUUCAGAAUUUAUUCAGUGAUCACUAAGAGGCCAUUGAAUGACUUAGUGCAUAAUGACUUUUAGCAAGUGUACAGUAAAGUGUUAGAAAAUUUAAAUAGUGGUAAUGGAUAAGAUAAAUCAGAGGGAGAGGCAGAAAUCAUUAUGGUAGUCCAUGCAUGGGCCUGGACUGAGAUGGCAAUAGUGGGACUGGAAAGGAAGAGAUCAGGGCAAGUGGAAGAAUAUACAAGUCUUGGUACAUUAGUCGCAAAAUAGAUGUGUAGAAGUGAAACAAAGGGGAAGAGAAAGUGAAGCAUGGCUUCAAGUCUGAAUGAGCAGAAGAACCAAGAUAUAGGGAAGCCUGGAGGAGAAGAUGGCUUGAAGAGAAAUAAGAUGUAUUGUAUUAAAUUCAAGGUGACAUCAAGACAACAAAGUAGUUAAUAUUCAAGUACCAGAUAUGAAUCAGAGCCCAGAAAAGAAGUUGGGGCUGAAGAUAGAGUUAUGAACAUCUUUUAUAUGGCUGAAGAAUGAUGGAGACAGUACGGAAGAAAAAUAGACAAUCAUACUUGAGUGCCCACAUUCUUAAGUCGAAGAGGAAAAAGGCAAGAUGAUGAGGAUAUUACAUGGCUAGGAGGAAAUCCAGUACAUCUUACAUCACAAGAUCAUAAAUAUUAAGCAUUUUGUGAACAAGAACUGUGUUUGGCAGACCAAAAGUCAUGUUUUAUUAAAUCUAAUUGGCUAUCUGUUCUAAGAGACACCAUUAUCCUAUGCACUACUAAGAAAAACACAAGUUCCCAUCUAAACUAGUGAAGAUUGUAAAACACAUCUAAUUUCAGAAACAUCAGUAUGUGAUAAAAGAUCUAUCUUCAAAUGAUAACAGUUAGUGUUAGUUCUCUCCUUACUUCCUCUGACCUCAAUAGCUCCUGGCAUAGUAUUUAGGACAAAGCUGGUGCUUAAAAUGUGGAAGGAACUUUAGAGCCUCUAAUCAUCACUGAACUGCCCACCACUGCAUCUAUAUACCUACUCCUGCUCUUUUCCUCCACUAGCUACUAUCACAUCUGAAUGUUCAGUGCCUAUCUAUAUGAAACAGAUGCUCAGUAAACACAUUGCGAAUGAGAUCAUUAGGGUAGACCCUAAUUCAGUGCAACUAGUAUCCUUAUGAGGAGAUUUGGCCACAGACAUCCCCACAUGCAGAAGGAAAUGUAAAGACGUGGAGAUGGCAGUCUACAGCCAAGGACAGAAGUUUCAGAAAAAACCAACCCUGCUGAUAAUUUUUUUUGUUUGUUUUUUUUGUUUUUUUUGGUCUCUUGUCCUCUUAGGGCCGCACCUGAAGCAUAUGGAGGUUCUCAGGCUAAGGGUCUAAUCGGAGCUGUUGCCACAGGCCUACACCAGAGCCACGUCUGUGACCUACACCAUAGCUCACGGCAAUGCCGGAUCCUUAACCCACUGAUCGAGGCCAGGGAUCGAACCCAAAACCUCAUGGUUACUAGUCAGAUUCAUUUCCGCUGCACCAUGAUGGGAACUCCACACCUUUUUUUUUUUUCUUUUUUAACUUCACUUUAUAUUGUACAGGGAGAUUUUUUUUUUCCUAUCAACAUGAACACAAGUAAUUCAGUCUUUGUGUCUGUGGCUGAGCAUUCCUAGAAAUCAAAAUAACUUCAAUUUACCAUUUCAUUUUUUUACUUAGUUUUUAUUUUAUUUUAAAUGCAUUCUUUUGAAAUGUAGUUGAUUUGCAGUGUUGUGUUGAUUUGCUCUACAGAAAGUUGAUUCAGUUAUACGUGUAUAUAUCUUCUUUUUCAUAUUCUUUUCCAUUAUGGUUUAUCACAGGAUAUUGAAUGUAGUUCCCUGUGUUAUACAGUAGGACUUUGUUUAUCCAUUUUAUUUAAUUAAAAAAAAAAUUUUUUUUUGUCUUUUUCUAGGGCAGCAGCUGCGGCACAUGGAGAUUCCCAGGCCAGGGAUCUAAUUGGAGCUGUAGCUACCAGCCUACGCCAGAGCCACAGCAAUGCCAGAUCCGAACCACGUCUGUGACCUAUACCACAGUUCACAGCAACGCCGGAUCUUUAACCCAAUGAGCAAGGCCAGGGAUUGAACCCACAACCUCAUCGUUCCUAGUUGGAUUCGUUAACCACUGAUCCACGAUGGGAACUCCUUUCUUUUAAAUUUUUAAAAUAUUUUUUAUUAAAGUAUAGUUGAUUUACAAUGUUCCUUCAAUUUCUGCUAUACUGCAAAGUGACCAGUAAUAUAUAUAUACAUAUAUAUAUAUAUUCUUUUUUUUUAUACCAACUUCCAUCAUGUUCUGAACCAAAAGACUGGACAUAGUUCCCUGUGUUUUACAGUAGGACCCCAUUACUUAUCCAUUUUAAAUGUAAUAAUUUGCAUCUACCAACCCCAAACUCCCCGCCCAUCCCACUCCCCCCCCAUACCAUUUCUUAUUGAUGGUUCAUUUGAGUGGUUUGUAUUUUCCUCUAGUAGUACUGCAAUGAACAUUUGAGGUCAGUCUUUUCCUUGAGCUCUCUACUUUAGAAACUUUUAGAACAGAGUUUUCUUGUGGUCUGGUGGAUAAAAAGAACCUUGGCUAGGAUCCCACCCCUUUCCUCUGAUUGCCUGAAGUUGGUAUCCUCAGGUUUCUGAGAUGAAUUUUGUGACAAGAGGAGUCUAGGAAUCAGAAAUUCCUACUUCCUAUACCUGGAAACCAGAGACAGUGCAUCUGCACUAAGUGGAACUGAAAUUAACCCUCCUGACACCUUGAUCUGGGACAUGUAGCUUCCAGAAGUAUGAGAAUAUAAAUUUCUGUUGUUAAAG